rnacentral:rRNA from 1 species
UACGUAGGGAGCGAGCGUUGUCCGGAAUUACUGGGUGUAAAGGGAGCGUAGGCGGGGAUGCAAGUUGAAUGUUUAAACUAUCGGCUUAACUGAUAGUCGCGUUCAAAACUGCAUUUCUUGAGUGAAGUAGAGGUAGGCGGAAUUCCUAGUGUAGCGGUGAAAUGCGUAGAUAUUAGGAGGAACACCAGUGGCGAAGGCGGCCUACUGGGCUUUAACUGACGCUGAGGCUCGAAAGCGUGGGUAGCAAACAGG